AGCAAGCUCAGAACAGCACUACUUCAGUUUGUCCCUACUGCUGCCAUUCUGGAAGUGAGAGAUGCACAAGCCAAACUCAGGGCUGUGCCAUCAAAGGAAACCACAUAUGCUCUUGGCCUGGCUAAACAUGGCACGGUUGGCACGUGGAUAAAGAAGGUCACUGUGGAAGCAUGAACAGAAACAGCACAACAUUUUGCAUGCAAAAAAAAAUGAGUCACAGAUACCUUAAGAAUAUAUUACUUAGAGAAGAGAAAAUGUAAACGGAUUACACAUUUGGGAAGGCGCAAGGGGAAUAAAUGGUUAAAGGAACUGAGAUUGGCCCCACAGGGUGGUUGAGUAAUAUAUGGAGUGUUAUUAGAUCAAAGUUCUCUAUCUCCAAAGAAAAAACAACCAAAAAUUGGCUUUAAGUCAGUCCAGAAAGAUGUCAGCUUAGCUUUUAGGAUGAAUUCUUGAUGUAUAAGUUGAUAUGUAUCAUAUUAGGUUACAAAGAGAAGUCUUGUAAUCUCCCUCCCAGGAGAGGCAUGAGACAGGAAAAGUCCAGUAAUGCGCACGGCCAUGUCAAGUGGCCGAUUCACCCAGAGCCAGAGGAACCCACCAGGAGACUUACCAAGGUCCUUAGAGGCUCGGGAUUUUCUCAUAAAACAAACACGAGGCUACAGAAGUGACUGCUCUGCCUCUUGUUCAGCAAUUUUAGCAAAUUCCAAAUACUUUUCCUUCAUACAAAUGAGGUUAACAGCAAGAACAGAUUUUACAAGGACAUUUUACAACCAAUCAGCACCUCGUGGAAUGAGAUAAAUACCUGCUUUUUUCCUUAAUAUGGUAAAUGGCUGGACAUAGUUUAAAAUAGAGCCAAAGCUUGGUGCAAUUAAAAAAAAUAGGUGACAAACAAGAGACAUGUGCAGGGCAAGCAUGUAAAUAGCUUUUGGGGAAGAAAGCUAAUGGAUCUAGUGUUCACACAGGGAAAUUUCACUAGACUCUUUAACCAAAGUCAAUCUGCCACGUUGAGGAAAUGCAGGAUCAGCCUUGAUACUUUUUGUCCCAAGGGAAAGUUGCCUGGUUGCCAGCAAAAAAAGAGAACUAUUUCCAUUUCUGUUCUUGCUCUGAACAGUGGGCUGAGAAGAAAUUGAUCUCAUGCGGAAGUCUACAAAGAGAAAGCCUUCUGUUCACUUCUUUCUCAGUUGAGACUUGCUCCUGCCAAACUAAAAAGACACACAUGGAAUCACAGACUCUUACAAAUAAAAGAAAUUUAGAAAGCUUGCAAUCUAAAACACACACGCAUCUCAAAACAUACCACUAGCUAAAGAAGGCCCGUAGCCCAAAGAAUAUUUUUCCUUUUCUCACAAGAAAGUUGCAGUCUAGGUUAGAAAACCUGCUGGAGGGCAGUCCCAUCUCAAGAACGCAAGAUGGUUGCCCCAGUUCACUCUGCACUGAAGUGAAACCUCCAGCUUCCUCCCCAGACAGGUCCUCCCCAAAGAGAUCACAGCAUCUCUGUUCAGAAAGAGAUCUCAGUAAUCUGUCUUAAUUGCUGAGCUUCUAAAAAGCUUUUGACUCCGCCACAGUUAUGCCUUAAAAACCCCCACACCCACACUCAGAAAUUUUUGUGUUUUAGCCAUAAAUUUUUUUUAAGACAGUUGAAUCAGAAACCUUGGGACCAUAUUGCUCUGCCAAAUAAGUCAUGUACGUGGAAACUGAACCCCCACUAGAAUGCCUCAAGUUGUGGCUAGGUGUGUCACUGAUCUCUUCUCUGUUUAAAAAAAAAAAAAUCCUUUCCUUCUGUUCCUUUACUUCUUUUCUAGGUACUAAGUAAAUAAGUAGAGAGUUUUGUAGUCCCCAGCUUGUACAGCUAACCCCUCAUAAAACAAUUCAUAUUGUAUAAAAUAACAAUGCUAUCCAUUGAAAUUAAAAUGGAAAAAUUUUAACUGUUACUCAGCAAAGACAACAAAGGUGUCCCCUUUCAGAGUUGAUAAGAGAUCAUGAGAUUGAAACUCUGCACAGCACUUUGAAAACUAGAAGCCCUAGUCUUAGGACCUCAUUCUUUUAAAGCCAAUAGCUUUGAAAGCUUGCUAGAUCUGAAACUGGCUCCAUCCUAUGUUAUGUUUUUGAUCUACAACACUGUGAAACAAUUACUGUUGUAAUCAAAUACACUUUGAUUAUUUACAGCUCUCUAUGCCAUUUACCCUUACAGAAAAUAGUUCUUAAACCAUAUGGAUAAUAGAACAAAGCAAAAUGGCC
rnacentral:lncRNA from 1 species